rnacentral:rRNA from 1 species
GUCGAGUCGGCCUGCGCGGAAGAUAUACCGGGGCUAAACUGAUAACCGAAGCUGUGGGAGCACACUUGUGUGCUCGGUAGAGGAGCGUUCUGUAAGCGGUUGAAGGUGUGUUGUAAAGCAUGCUGGACGUAUCAGAAGUGCGAAUGCUGACAUGAGUAACGAUAAGAGGGGUGAAAAACCCCUCCGCCGAAAGAUCAAGGUUUCCUGUCCAACGUUAAUCGGGACAGGGUGAGUCGGCCCCUAAGGCGAGGGCGAAAGCCGUAGUCGAUGGGAAAUCGGUUAAAAUUCCGAUACCGAUUUUUACUGCGAUGGAGUGACGGAGAAGGCUAGGCUAGCACGGCGAUGGUUGUCCGUGUUCAAGCGUGUAGGUAGGGGGAUUAGGUAAAUCCGGUCCCUCGUUAAUCUGAGACGUGAUAACGAUCUCCUGGGGAAACCCUCGAGAGAAGUAGUCGAUGCCAUACUUCCAGGAAAAACUUCUAAGCUUCAGGUAAAAAUCGACCGUACUGUAAACCGACACAGGUGAUCAGGUAGAGAAUACCAAGGCGCUUGAGAGAACUUGGGUGAAGGAACUAGGCAAAAUGGCACCGUAACUUCGGGAGAAGGUGCGCCGGUGAGGGUGAAGGACUUGCUCCGUAAGCUCAUGCCGGUCGAAGAUACAGGGCGCUGCGACUGUUUAUUAAAAACACAGCACUCUGCAAACACGAAAGUGGACGUAUAGGGUGUGAUGCCUGCCCGGUGCUGGAAGGUUAAUUGAUGGGGUCAGCCGCAAGGCGAAGCUCUUGAUCGAAGCCCCAGUAAAACGGCCGUAACAAUAACGGUCCUAAGGUAGCGAAAUUCCUUGUCGGGUAAGUUCCGACC